rnacentral:rRNA from 1 species
GAUGAACGCUGGCGGCGUGCCUAACACAUGCAAGUCGAGCGGACAUUUCCAAGCAGUAAUGUGCGGGGAUGUUAGCGGCGGACGGGUGAGUAACACGUGAGCAAUCUGCCUUCUGCAGGGGAAUAACAUUGUGAAAACAGUGCUAAUACCGCAUGACGUGGAACCGGGCAUCCCGGGGCACCAAAGGAGAGAUCCGGCAGGGGAUGAGCUCGCGUCCGAUUAGGUAGUUGGUGAGGUAAAGGCCCACCAAGCCGACGAUCGGUAGCCGAACUGAGAGGUUGAUCGGCCACAUUGGGACUGAGACACGGCCCAGACUCCUACGGGAGGCAG